UUUCUUCUGGCUUGUUGGUCAGUGCCUAGUGUCUUUUGAGCCGAUGCUAAUAUUGCCAGGGAACCAGACUGCUUUCGUUGUUGUGCAAGUCCACUUUAAGUGGAAAGCCUGAUACGAAACUGAGGUCCCCACUUGAACUUAAAGGGUUCGAGGCAAAUGGCGCAACCCCAAGUUGGAGAAAGC
rnacentral:other from 2 species